ACUCCUUUUUCUGCCUUUUCUCUUCCCAAAUCUCCAUGAAUCGUUACGUCUAUUCUCUUCUUCUCCUUCUUCCAAUUAUUUCUCGUUUUUCUAUGCACUGACCUAGGGCUUUUUCCUUCUCCAUUAUCAUCGAUUCCAGUGUUUUUUUCUCCAUAUCUCGCUCCUCAAGAUCACAAUCGCUGUGUGAGAAAUCACGUUUAGUGUGUUUCAAAAUCGACGGUUAUCGGAGACUGUGCGAUGGGAGCAAUGGAGGAAGAGAUGGAGGAUAUGGUUGAAUAUACGUUUACAGCGGUGGAGAUUGACCUCGAUUACGAGUUUGAUGCACCUCGUUACUUUGAUUUAGGUUGUGAAGAGUCUUUGCUUGAGACUCGUCAUGCUGAGAGUUGGUUUGUAUCUGCCGGAAGCUAUCCGCCUUCUCCUUUUGUUACUAGGUUAAUUUCGAAGGAGGACGUUUUGCUGGAAAACAUUAAUGUAUCUCCGAAAUCCAAAGUUGAGGAGAAUAUGAGUUUGUCUGAUAUUGAGGUCGAACAAGAGGUUCCUGCUGUAAUGGAAGAAGGCGAGGGCAACAAUACUGGCAUUUCUGCUAACUUAGAAAUUAGCAAUGCCGAGAAACUUUUAAAUCAACUGAGGCAGCUACCUUCAGGGUUGAGUUUCUACAAUCACAUGGGUAAAGGUGCCACAAGAGGUAAAACCAGGUGUGCAGGGAAGCCAUCUUGUCCCAGGAGCUCAACCCUCAUGAAACCAACUGCAAGUCACUUAGCUAAACAAAAUCUACCUCGUCCAAUUGGUGAAUCGAGGUUACUCACAUUCUUGGUUGAGAAAAAUGGAACAAGUUCAACUGUGAUCGAGACUCAAGCUGCCAAGAGACAAAAGCUUGAGAGUGGUCAUCUACAGAAGGUUGCCGAAGCGAAGCCUGUAUUUAGUUUUGUUCACAAGGCACCUAAGCGAGAUGGAAAAGUUGAUGGCAACAACACAUUGGCGAAGCCCAGGAUUACUAUUCCUAGAGAGCCUGCACUUCAAACAACUCAUAGAGCACAAAGAGCAAGGCCAAACGGUAGUGAACAAGCAGAAAAUUUGCCGCCAACAGCUAUACGUAGAUUCAAAGCUCUUCCACUAAAUAGAAAGAUCUUUGAAGGUCCUUCUUUGCCUCCAAAACGAAGUAAUCCACAACUUCCGCAGUUUCAAGAAUUUCACCUGAAAACGUCAGAGAGAGCCGUGCAACAUCGUUCAGCCUUUUCAACUUCUGCUGCCAAUUCUUCUUCUACUAGCGACAAGGUGUUGCAGAAAGCCAGUACUAAUUCAACCAUGGAAUGUGGAAACAGAGAAUUCAGAAGAGUCAAUCAUGUAGAGGCUCCAAAGCAAGAAGAAUCGGUGUCCACCUACAACUUCAAAGCUCUUCCUCUUAAUAAAAAGAUCCUAUCAAGUAAAGGAGAUAUUGGAGUGUUCCGAAACACCAAGAGGGAAACCACAGUGCCAAUGGAGUUCAAUUUUCAUACUGUAAAGAGGAUUCAUCAUAAUCCGCCAAUUGAUUUAUUUAACAAGCUCUCUCUUACAUCUGAGCCCCAACAAGCUGGGGGAGUGCAAUCGAAAGCACAAAGACCAUCCCGCCUUCUGUCAAAGGGCUCUAAAGAAAAUAGAUGGGCUUAUUUCCAACAAAACCAUGAGUACACACGGAGACUGGAAAACUAGCUGAUCUCAAAAGCAAAGCCAAUUUAGUUUGGUAGUGAUGUGGGAUAACUGAAGUUUGUCAAGUCUCUAACCCAAUCGACAGGCGUUUUGGGCUUAUUAGGGACAAAACACAGCACAUUUCUGGACGUCGCUGAACACCUUUUUGCUUGAUUCAAAAGGCAGACUGAGAUGAUGUAGCAAUGCCAAUACAUUACAAUUGUCUGAAAUAGUCAAGUGCAUUCAGAUAGAUAGAAGCUUUAUAACUUAUGUAAAAAUCAGUUUCUACAGAUGUAAACCAUCAGAUACGAACAGCAAUGUUAAUCACCAUGUCAUCAUGUGAAUAAAAAUGAGCAAGUUUUUGUUUAGUGGGAA